UAACCUUUACCUCCUUCGAAAUACAAAAUGUCCCUCUUUUUUUUUGUUUUAGUUGUCCCAGAGUUGAAUCUUCUGAGCAGCUAACCAGUCAUCAACGCCAAAGGUCAAGAGUGUUUGCAACAAAAGAAACAGAGGAGAGGAGACGAGCUUCAGAUUCCUUGGAUCAAAACCUCUCCAUCCAUCCCAUGAAUCUUAACUAACUGAACAACAACGAUAACAAGAACCAUUACCACAACUGCCAACUCUGCUGCUGCUGCUGCGACUCCUCAAGUUGUCAGAUAAUCAAAAUGGGAUUCCAGGAAUGAUAAAAUUCUGAUCAUCAAACCGUGGAUACGUCUCAAUCUGACAUCUCUUACAGCUGUGGGUCUUGUGGAUACCCCUUGAAUUUAACAUCUUCCAAUCGAAUCACUUCCAACAUAGGUUCUGGAUAUCAGAAAUCUAUAAAGAAAGGUUAUAUCUCCUUCCUUUCUGUUGAUCUAAGUCGAUUCACACAGGUUGAUGAGGUAAAUUGUCUUCCUGUGUCUUGGGGUCGUUAUCAUUCAAAAAGUAAACUUCUUUGUCGUAAAUGUGGGGUUCACGUAGGCUAUGGAUAUGGAGAUUCGCCUGCUCUAUGUGGUUUUGACUCUACCAACUCAUCAAGCUCAGCUUAUAAAAAAUUUACCAUAAAGAUCCGAGCUCUACAGCCUUCAGAAGAGUGCUAACAAAGUCAUCAUGGAAGAACCUUUUAGUGGUCUUCUUACCCCCAUCAUGCACCUGCCCGAUGAUUGCCUGUCUAUUGGUUUUCACUUUUCAGUUGCUUGGCUGUAGUUCUGAUCUUGAAUCAUUUGGUUUGACUUGUCAGUACUGAUUUAAUAUUUUGUUCUGAUCAUGAAUCAUUUGGUUUAACUUGUCAUUACUGGUUUAAUAUUCAAAAUACACACCGUAGGUCCUUACAAUUUCGUUGUUCGUUGGCCUUCCCCAAUGUUUUCUUCUUUAUCUCAGAUUAGGCUUGUUACUAGCUCUUUCUAACUUCACUGGCUGCUAACCGGCUUCAGCAUUUACUGUAUUGUCUUCAUCUGGUUGCUCUGAGAUGCAUGAUUCAUGCCUAAGCUUUUUGCAAUCCUAUGCUUUGAAGUUUCUUUCUCUUAACCCGGACUGCCGUUUUAGAAUCACUGACAAUGGACUUUCACUGGUUGCCGCUAGUUGCUCCUUCCUAGAGGUUAUUAGUCUAUAUCAAUCCUAAAUUACCGAUGCUUGGUUACAACUUUAGCUAAUGGUUGUUCAGACUUGAAGCACAUCAAUCUCUUGCUGCUCACUUGUUUCUGACUCUGGGAGAACUCGUUUUCAAUCUUCUGUCAGCUGGAGGCAGCUAACGUAUCUCAUUGCAGCGGAGUAAAUGGUUCUGGGCUUGGGGGGGUUUUCGCCAACUUCAACUCAUAUAGAUGCUGAUUCUUGUAAGCUUGAGCCAGAAGGCAUUAUCGGGAUUGUAAGUGGAGGUGGAGGUGGAGUUGAGUAUUUGAAUGUUUCUUGCAUGAAAUGGUGUGGAAGUGGGGGCGCAGUGCAGCAAUAGCCAAUAGGUGCAGGUUUUGCCACUUGGCUUAAAAUUCUUAACCUUUGGCUGUGCAGAACUGAUGGAGAUGAAGUCCACUGCGGCAAUAGCAAAGGGAUGCCCGUUGCUUGAAGAAUGAAAUUUGGCUGUGUCAUGGAGUCAGGAUUGCAGGACGGCAAUAUAUUGGGAUCAGUUGCCAUAAAUUGGAGAAGCUGCAU